AGAAAGGACGGAGGAGAGAUGCAAGUUGGAGGCUCUUCUUCAUGUUAGUGACAUGCAUGCAUCAUGAAUCUCUUUAAUUCUUGAUUAAAUUUUGUGAUUUAGGUGGAAGACCUUCCUGUUGUUCACCUUUAAAUAUUCUCUAACAUGUAGAGCUAACAGUGAUGGAUUGACUAAUAUGUAAUGAAUACAGAAUCAGGGAUCUGAAAUAAAUCUUGAAAUACUGCCUUUGAUUUCCUGAAUCUUGGAAGGACUAUAACUAAGGAGUUGAGGUUCUGAAAUUUAAUAAAAAACAUUUCACUAGGAUCAGUAGAUAUAACAUUCGUACAGAUAUUGUAUAGACCAUAGACUACUUAGAAAAUAUCAACAACCUCUUAUGGAAUCAUAACCAAAGACAGGAAUAGAAUGUUGCCACUGUCCUGAGGCCGUCUCCAUGCACAUGUUUACUUGCCUUUUAUUAGCCAGUUCUCCUUGUUUUCUGAGUUUGUCUUAGAGAAUGACACAUGGAAUUGCUGUUUACUUUUUCCAACUUUUUAAGGGAUUUAUUACUAAGUCCUCCUAAUAAAGCUUAUAAAAACCUUCUGUAUGCAAGAAGUUUUCCUUCUAGUCUUGGCAUUGUUUAAAUGCAGUUAGUGGCUGAAAGUACAAGCAUAUCACUUAGAAAAGCAUUUGAUUGCACCGAGUAGAAGAGGUUUGGGGAGACUGCUUGGUGUCUUUAAAGUGGACAUGUUUAAUGGAAACUC